rnacentral:misc_RNA from 1 species
GAUGAAGAACGCAGUGAAAUGCGAUAAGUAAUGUGAAUUGCAGAAUUCAGUGAAUCAUCGAAUCUUUGAACGCACAUUGCGCCCGGUAGUAAUCUGCCGGGCAUGCCUGUCCGAGCGUCAUUUCACCCCUCGAACCACUAUUCGCGUAGCUGGAUCGGUGUUGGGGCACUACGGUGGAAUACCCGUAGGCCCCGAAAUGAAGUGGCGGUCCCGCCGCGGCGCCCCCAUGCGUAGUAACUUUCAGUCUCGCAUCGGGUCCCGGCGGAGGCCUGCCGUCAAGCCUAUUUUAUAAUCUUUUACAGAUGGUUUGACCUCGGAUCAGGUAGGGUUACCCGCUGAACUUAAGCAUAUCAAUAAGCGGAGGA